rnacentral:rRNA from 1 species
GAUGAACGCUGGCGGCGUGCCUAAUACAUGCAAGUCGAGCGAACGGACGAGAAGCUUGCUUCUCUGAUGUUAGCGGCGGACGGGUGAGUAACACGUGGAUAACCUACCUAUAAGACUGGGAUAACUUCGGGAAACCGGAGCUAAUACCGGAUGAUAUUUUGAACCGCAUGGUUCAAAAGUGAAAGACGGUCUUGCUGUCACUUAUAGAUGGAUCCGCGCUGCAUUAGCUAGUUGGUAAGGUAACGGCUUACCAAGGCAACGAUGCAUAGCCGACCUAAGAGGGUGAUCGGCCACACUGGAACUGAGACACGGUCCAGACUCCUACGGGAGGCAGCAGUAGGGAAUCUUCCGCAAAGGGCGAAAGCCUGACGGAGCAACGCCGCGUGAGUGAUGAAGGUCUUCGGAUCGUAAAACUCUGUUAUUAGGGAAGAACAUAUGUGUAAGUAACUGUGCACAUCUUGACGGUACCUAAUCAGAAAGCCACGGCUAACUACGUG